rnacentral:rRNA from 1 species
AUUGAACGCUGGCGGCAUGCCUAACACAUGCAAGUCGAGCGAGGGGCGGACGGGUGAGUAAGGUAUGGGGAUCUGCCCGAUAGAGAGGGAUAACUACUGGAAACGAUGGCUAAUACCGCAUUCUAUCGGAUUAACCCUUAGGGGAUUAGCUAGUAGGUAAGGUAAUGGCUUACCUAGGCGACGAUCCCUAGCUGGUCUGAGAGGAUGAUCAGCCACACUGGGACUGAGACACGGCCCAGACUCCUACGGGAGGCAGCAGGGGGGAAUAUGGCACAAUGGGCGAAAGCCUGAUGCAGCCAUGCCGCGUGUGUGAAGAAGGCCCUAGGGUUGUAAAGUACUUGGAGUCGUGAGGCGUUACCGAAAGAAGAAGCACCGGCUAACUCCGUGCCAGCAGCCGCGGUAAUAC